AAUCACCUGAGGCACUUGUCAUGAGCUGCCAAGGCUAUGGAAGCCUCUUGAGUUCACCAGCUCCGAUCUUGUUUAGACAAGGCCAUAUUCAAAAUGGAAGUUCUCUCCUCCCUGCAGAGAAAGUUUGUUAACGUGAUGUAUCACAUUGAUUUGCGAAUGUUGAACCAUCCCUGCAUACCAGGGGAUGAAGUAAUUACAGCAUGUUGUGCAAAAUCGGGGCUGAAGAAUAAUUUCAUCUUAUGAACUAGAAAUGUGAAGAAAAGAAUGAGAUGUCAGUGAAAGCUACUCUGAGAAAGUCAGUGAGAAGUUGGCAUGAAAAACAAAGUACUUUACAUCAGAGGUAGAUUUCAGUUUGAAGAUGUCAGAUUUCAGACAUGAGGGGGAGGAAAUGAGGAGCGGUAAAAGUUUUAUAUAUAAUCUUAUGAUCUGAAAUAGAAAACAUAGUUUCUUAACUUGACUCUAUUAAUCUACAUGAACAAACCUUGUGUACUUAUUUUACAAUAUUUUAAUCUCUAAAGGAAGAAAAUGAUAAUCUUGACUCAGGGAAAUUUUGGGACUCUAAAAGAUAUAAGCUGGGAAUGUUUCUUAACAGAAAGUAUUAUACAAAUAACAUUUGAAAGGGAUUAGAACUUGAAUGAAGGAUAGUGCAGAGAACAAUCACCCUGUAUCUGAACCAAAAAGACAUAAAUGGAAAGUAAGAUUUGUCUAAAAGAGUCUUAGAAGUUACCUUCUCGGCCGGCGCCGCGGCUCACUAGGCUAAUCCUCC